rnacentral:rRNA from 1 species
AUUGAACGCUGGCGGCAGGCCUAACACAUGCAAGUCGAACGAGUGGCGGACGGGUGAGGAAUGUCUGUGAAACUGCCUGAUGGAGGGGGAUAACUACUGGAAACGGUAGCUAAUACCGCAUACCAUCAGAUGUGCCCAGAUGGGAGUAGCUAGUUGGUGGGGUAACGGCGCACCAAGGCGACGAUCCCUAGGUGGUCUGAUAGGAUGACCAGCGACACUGGAACUGAGGCACGGGCCAGACUCCUCCGGGGGGCAGCAGUGGGGAAAAUUGCACAAUGGGCGCAAGCCUGGUGCAGCCAUGCCGCGUGUGUGAAGAAGGCCUUCGGGUUGUAAAGUACUUUAAGCGGGGAGGCGUUACCCGCAGAAGAAGCACCGGCUAACUCCGUGCCAGCAGCCGCGGUAAUAC